UACGUAGGGGGCAAGCGUUGUCCGGAUUUAUUGGGCGUAAAGAGCGUGUAGGCGGCCAGACAGGUCCGUUGUGAAAACUUGAGGCUCAACCUCCAGACGUCGGUGGAAACCGGCUGGCUAGAGUCCGGAAGAGGAGAGUGGAAUUCCUGGUGUAGCGGUGAAAUGCGCAGAUAUCAGGAAGAACACCCGUGGCGAAAGCGGCUCUCUGGGACGGUACUGACGCUGAGACGCGAAAGCGUGGGGAGCGAACAGG
rnacentral:rRNA from 1 species